GAUCAUGGCUCAGGAUAAACGCUGGCGGCGCACAUAAGACAUGCAAGUCGAACGAACUUAACCAUUAGUUUACUAUUGGAGCGGUUAGUGGCGGACUGGUGAGUAACACGUAAGCAACCUGCCUAUCAGAGGGGAACAACAGUUAGAAAUGACUGCUAAUACCGCAUACACCAUUAAAAGGACAUCCUUAUAAUGGGAAAGAAGCAAUUCGCUGAUAGAUGGGCUUGCG
rnacentral:rRNA from 1 species